rnacentral:rRNA from 1 species
CCUACGGGAGGCUGCAGUGGGGGAUAUUGCACAAUGGGGGAAACCCUGAUGCAGCGACGCCGCGUGGGUGAAGAAGCGCCUCGGCGCGUAAAGCCCUGUCAGCAGGGAAGAAAAUGACGGUAACUGAAGAAGAAGCCCCGGCUAACGACGUGCCAGCAGCCGCUGUGAUACGUAGGGGGCAAGCGUUAUCCGGAUUUAAUGGGUGUAAAGGGGGCGGAGACGGGGAUGCAAGCAAGGAGCGAAAGCCCGGGGCCCAAACCCGGGAUUGCUCUUGGAACUGGGUGGCUAGAGUGCAGGAGGGGCAGGCGGAAUUCCUGGUGUAGCGGUGAAAUGCGUAGAUAUCAGGAGGAACACCGGUGGCGAAGGCGGCCUGCUGGACUGCAACUGACGUUGAGGCCCGAAAGCGUGGGGAGCAAACAGGAUUAGAUACCCUAGUAGUC